UAUAGUUUAAUUAAAAUCUUAGUUUUGGAGACUAAUUAUAUCUGUAUAAAGGUUAUUCUGA
rnacentral:tRNA from 1 species